rnacentral:lncRNA from 10 species
GAGCCCUGGACCCAGCUAAAAAUAGUUCAGAGCCUUGCCAGCUGGGAGCUGGGCUAUGUUUAGCAGAAACUGGCACACGAGUGAAAUGGGGUGGAGCCAAGUAGACACUUUGGAUCCGGUAGGCAUAGCUCUCCCACAGGAGACUGUUUAGGCCAUGCCUGGCAUCAGUAACUCAGGCUGUUUCCCACACUACAGGCCAGCACUGUGGGCUCUCAGUUUAUUGGGAAAUGGAAAUAAGAGGGAAGGACAAAAGUCCACUGGGAAGCAGACUGGACAGAAAGGAACUCUGAGCAGCUAAACUCUGACUAAUCCCAGGGUAUACCUGCGUUUUCUCUUCACCAGAUUUUUCCUACCAGGAAGAGCAUGUGCUGACCAACAGACAUGAAUUUCAGCCUGGUAGUUACAACAUUCACAGUAUACCCACAUCACUAAGCUGGGAGGCACAUUUUGAGACCCAGAAUCCUGACACCUCCAUGCCUUCAAAAGGGUAAGUUUAUCAAGUUUAAUAACAAUUCAUAAAACAUCACUCACCUGGGUCCUCCUCCUCUACCUGUGACUUUCAAACACCUGUGACCUCUGAGAUAUUGAGG